rnacentral:rRNA from 1 species
UACGUAGGUGGCAAGCGUUGUCCGGAAUUAUUGGGCGUAAAGGGUGCGCAGGCGGUGCGCUAAGUUUGGUGUGAAAUCCUGGGGCUUAACCUCAGAAUUGCACUGAAUACUGGUGUGCUAGAGGACUGGAGAGGAGAUUGGAAUUCACGGUGUAGCAGUGAAAUGCGUAGAUAUCGUGAGGAAGACCAGUGGCGAAGGCAGCCCCCUGGGAUGUGACUGACGCUCAUGUACGAAAGCGUGGGGAGCAAACAGG